rnacentral:rRNA from 1 species
GAUCAUGGCUCAGGAUGAACGCUGGCGGCGUGCUUAACACAUGCAAGUCGAACGAAGCACUUAAUGAGAUUUCUUCGGAUUGAUAUUUUGUGACUGAGUGGCGGACGGGUGAGUAACGCGUGGGUAACCCUGCCCCCAGACCGGGGGAUAACAGUCGGAAACGACUGCUAAUACCGCAUAAGCGCACAGUGCCGCAUGGCACGGUGUGAAAAACUCCGGUGGUCUGGGAUGGACCCGCGUCCGAUUAGUUAGUUGGUGGGGUAACGGCCCACCAAGACUGCGAUCGGUAGCCGACCUGAGAGGGUGACCGGCCACAUUGGGACUGAGACACGGCCCAGACUCCUACGGGAGGCAGCAGUGGGGAAUAUUGCACAAUGGAGGAAACUCUGAUGCAGCGACGCCGCGUGAGCGAAGAAGUAUUUCGGUAUGUAAAGCUCUGUCAGCAGGGAAGAUGAUGACGGUACCUGACCAAGAAGCCCCGGCUAACUACGUG